AUUGAACGCUGGCGGCAGGCCUAACACAUGCAAGUCGAGCGGAUGAAGGGAGCUUGCUCCUGGAUUCAGCGGCGGACGGGUGAGUAAUGCCUAGGAAUCUGCCUGGUAGUGGGGGAUAACGUCCGGAAACGGGCGCUAAUACUGCAUACGUCCUGAGGGAGAAAGUGGGGGAUCUUCGGACCUCACGCUAUCAGAUGAGCCUAGGUCGGAUUAGCUAGUUGGUGGGGUAAAGGCCUACCAAGGCGACGAUCCGUAGCUGGUCUGAGAGGAUGAUCAGUCACACUGGAACUGAGACACGGUCCAGACUCCUACGGGAGGCAGCAGUGGGGAAUAUUGGACAAUGGGCGAAAGCCUGAUCCAGCCAUGCCGCGUGUGUGAAGAAGGUCUUCGGAUUGUAAAGCACUUUAAGUUGGGAGGAAGGGCAGUAAGUUAAUACCUGGCUGUUUUGACGGUACCAACAGAAUAAGCACCGGCUAACUUCGUG
rnacentral:rRNA from 1 species